ACGGCGAGUGAAGCGGGAUGAGCUCAAAUUUGAAAGCUGGCAGUAAUGUCCGCGUUGUAAUCUCGAGAGUUGUUUUCCGCGCUGGACCACGUACAAGUUCCUUGGAAUAGGAUGUCAUAGAGGGUGAAAAUCCCGUACUUGAUGUGGACGCCCAGUGCUUUGUGAUACAUCUUCGAAGAGUCGAGUUGUUUGGGAAUGCAGCUCAAAAUGGGUGGUAAAUUCCAUCUAAAGCUAAAUAUUGGGGAGAGACCGAUAGCGAACAAGUACCGUGAGGGAAAGAUGAAAAGCACUUUGGAAAGAGAGUUAAACAGUACGUGAAAUUGUCAAAAGGGAAGCAUUUGAAGUCAGACGUGUAUUGUAGUAUUCAGCCUUGCUUUUGCUUGGUGUAUUUGCUAUUUUACAGGCCAACAUCAGUUUUGAAUGACGGAUAAGGGUAUUAAGAAUGUGGCAUCCUCGGAUGUGUUAUAGCUUUUUACUGGAUACGUCGUUUGGGACUGAGGAACGCAGCUCGCCGUAAGGCAGACCUUUGGGUACUUUCGAGCUUAGGAUGUUGGCG
rnacentral:rRNA from 1 species